UACGUAGGGGGCGAGCGUUGUCCGGAUUUAUUGGGCGUAAAGAGCUCGUAGGCGGCUUAGUAAGUCGGGUGUGAAACCUCCAGGCUCAACCCGAGAGCGCCACCCGAUACUGCUGUGGCUAGAGUCCGGUAGGGGAGCGUGGAAUUCCUGGUGUAGCGGUGAAAUGCGCAGAUAUCAGGAGGAACACCAGCGGCGAAGGCGGCGCUCUGGGCCGGUACUGACGCUGAGGAGCGAAAGCGUGGGGAGCAAACAGG
rnacentral:rRNA from 1 species